rnacentral:rRNA from 1 species
AAUUUUGGACAAUGGGGGAAACCCUGAUCCAGCCAUCCCGCGUGUAUGAUGAAGGACUNCGGGUUNUNAAGUACUUUUGGCAGAGNCGAAAAGGUAUCUCCUAAUACGAGAUACUGCUGACGGUAUCUGAAGAAUAAGCACCGGCUAACUACGUGCUAGCAGCCGCGGUAAUACGUAGGGUGCAAGCGUUAAUCGGAAUUACUGGGCGUAAAGCGUGUGUAGGCGGUUCGGAAAGAAAGAUGUGAAAUCCCAGGGCUCAACCUUGGAACUGCAUUUUUAACUGCCGAGCUAGAGUAUGUCAGAGGGGGGUAGAAUUCCACGUGUAGCAGUGAAAUGCGUAGAUAUGUGGAGGAAUACCGAUGGCGAAGGCAGCCCCCUGGGCCUGUACUGACGCUCAUGCACGAAAGCGUGGGGAGCAAACAG